rnacentral:lncRNA from 13 species
GAGAGAGAGAGAGAGAGAGAGAGACAGAAACAGAAAGAGACAGAGAGAGAGACAGAGAGAGACAGAGAGAGAGACAGAGAGAGAGACACACACACACGCAGGCACACAUGUCCAGGAAACAACAGUCUGUGGGUCAGAGGUUGGAGUGUGUUUUCCAGUCAAAGUGGUAGAGCCAUAUAGCUUCUGUAUUCUCCUUCUUUUUCCCGUUCUGUUCCACCUGUCAAAAACAAAAGUUCUGAAAACAAAAAUGUGCUUUUUGGUCUUAAUUUAAGGUUAAGGUUAGGCACAGAUUACAUUUAGAAAGUAACCAACCUAACCCUGACAAUACCAACCUAACUGACAGAGUGAAAAGAAGGAAGUCUGUACAGAAUAUACAUAUUCCAAAACAUGCAUUCUGUUUACAAGGCAUUGAGGUAAUACUGCAAAACAUGUGGCAACGUAAUUAACAUUUUGUUCUGAAUAAAAGUGUUAUGUUUGGGGAAAAUCCAAUACAACACAUUACUGAGUCCCACUCUCCAUAUUUGCAUAGAGGUGGCUACAUCAUGUUAUAGGUAUGCUUGUAAUCAUUAAGGACUGGGAGCUUUUCAGGAUGAAAAAUGUACGGAACGGAGGUAAAAUCCUAGAGGAUUUUGGUUCAGUCUGCUUCCCACCAGCCACCGGGAGAUGAAUUCACCUUUCAGCAGGACAAUAACCUAAAUCACAAGGCCAAAUCUACACUGGAGUUGCUUCCCAAGAAGACAGAGUGUCCAGUUUUCACUUAAAUCUGCUUGAAAAUCUAUAGCAAGACUCAAAAAUGUAUUUUCAAUUUGACAGAGCUUGAAUAUUUUUUAAAAGAAUAACGGCAAAUAUUUUACAAUCCAGGUGUUCAAAGCUCUUAGAGACUAACCCAGAAAGACUCUUAGCUGAUAUCGCUGCCGAAGGUGAUUGUACAUGUAUUGACUCAGGGGUGUGAAUACUUAUGUAAAUUAGAUAUUUCUGUAUUUCAUUUUCAAUAAAUGUGCACAAAUUUCUAAAAACAUGUUUUCACAUUGUCACUAUGGGGUAUUGUGUGUGUAGAUUGGUGAGAACAAAAUAUAUGCUUAAUCCAUUUUGAAUUCAGUCUGUAACACAACAAACUGUUGAAUAAUUCAAGGGGUAUGAAUAUUUUCUGAAGCCACUGUAGCCGAACAAAUGAAGCUAGUGUAGCUCCUCUAGUGAAACUCUAUAUCUACUGUAUAACUUGGCUGUCUGGGACUUAUAUAGAAUGUACCAAAUUAUUACAACUCACAAGUGAAUUGACUAUAUGAGAAGAUUUUUGGAGCUAAUCCCUACAGUCCUUAAGAGUAGAAGUGCUAUUUUCCCAAGAGCCCGGUACAUUUGACAAGAGGCCCACUGUGUGUGAGAGAGAGAGAGAGAGAGAGGCAGCUAGUCCUGCGCUCGACCAGACAGAAGCCAAAGUGCAUUUCCUUUCUGGUGUAAAUUUUUAUGGCCACAGUUCAGUUCCUUGGGCCUCCAUCUCCCUCACUCUGCCUGGGGGAAAUGACCGAGUCCCCAUAAA